GUGUUACAGUACAGAGUCAAUGUGGAGGCUAUAUACAGGGUGUUACGGUACAGAGUCAAUGUGGAGGCUAUAUACAGGGGGUACCGGUACAGAGUCAAUGUGGAGGCUAUAUACAGGGUGUUACGGUACAGAGUCAAUGUGGAGGCUAUAUACAGGGGGUACCGGUACAGAGUCAAUGUGGAGGCUAUAUACAGGGUGUUACGGUACAGAGUCAGUGUGGAGGCUAUAUACAGGGGGUACCGGUACAGAGUCAGUGUGGAGGCUAUAUACAGGGUGUUACGGUACAGAGUCAAUGUGGAGGCUAUAUACAGGGUGUUACGGUACAGAGUCAAUGUGGAGGCUAUAUACAGGGUGUUACGGUACAGAGUCAAUGUGGAGGCUAUAUACAGGGUGUUACGGUACAGAGUCAAUGUGGAGGCUAUAUACAGGGUGUUACGGUACAGAGUCAUUGUGGAGGCUAUAUACAGGGUGUUACGGUACAGAGUCAAUGUGGAGGCUAUAUACAGGGGGUACCGGUACAGAGUCAAUGUGGAGGCUAUAUACAGGGGGUACCGGUACAGAGUCAAUGUGGAGGCUAUAUACAAGGGGUACCGGUACAGAGUCAAUGUGGAGGCUAUAUACAGGGUGUUACGGUACAGAGUCAAUGUGGAGGCUAUAUACAG
rnacentral:lncRNA from 1 species